rnacentral:rRNA from 1 species
AUGAACGCUGGCGGCGUGCCUAAUCCAUGCAAGUCGAGCGAACGGACGAGAAGCUUGCUUCUCUGAUGUUAGCGGCGGACGGGUGAGUAACACGUGGAUAACCUACCUAUAAGACUGGGAUAACUUCGGGAAACCGGAGCUAAUACCGGAUAAUAUUUUGAACCGCAUGGUUCAAAAGUAAAAGACGGUCUUGCUGUCACUUAUAGAUGGAUCCGCGCUGCAUUAGCUAGUUGGUAAGGUAACGGCUUACCAAGGCAACGAUGCAUAGCCGACCUGAGAGGGUGAUCGGCCACACUGGAACUGAGACACGGUCCAGACUCCUACGGGAGGCAGCAGUAGGGAAUCUUCCGCAAUGGGCGAAAGCCUGACGGAGCAACGCCGCGUGAGUGAUGAAGGUCUUCGGAUCGUAAAACUCUGUUAUUAGGGAAGAACAUAUGUGUAAGUAACUGUGCACAUCUUGACGGUACCUAAUCAGAAAGCCACGGCUAACUACGUG